ACACUCAACGAUGCUGGGCGCUACUUUUUGACUAUAGUUACAGAGGAGGGUGAGGAACACACAGGAAAUACCACACUGGAGGUCUACGGAGCGGGUGGAUUGAGUAAGGGAGUCAUCACGGCACUCGUUACAUUGGGUGUGAUCGUUGUCGGAGCCAUCAUUGUUGUGCCAUGCUAUUUCUAUUGCAAGAAAAGGGGAGUAUUUUCAGAAGUAUAUACAGAGAGAGAUACCCGUACCUAACCAUGACCACCCCUACAUUUUAAUCUCGAGAGUUGAAAGGUACCAAAAUUGGGAGGUGCCAUCUGACUGGCUGUUUAUAAAGAGUGAAGGUUCACAGAUACAGUAUCUGACAGUUGACCAACAAUAAAGUGCACAUUAAACCUGC